GAUGAACGCUGGCGGCGUGCCUAAUACAUGCAAGUCGAGCGAACGGACGAGAAGCUUGCUUCUCUGAUGUUAGCGGCGGACGGGUGAGUAACACGUGGAUAACCUACCUAUAAGACUGGGAUAACUUCGGGAAACCGGAGCUAAUACCGGAUAAUAUUUUGAACCGCAUGGUUCAAAAGUGAAAGACGGUCUUGCUGUCACUUAUAGAUGGAUCCGCGCUGCAUUAGCUAGUUGGUAAGGUAACGGCUUACCAAGGCAACGAGGCAUAGCCGACCUGAGAGGGUGAUCGGCCACACUGGAACGGAGACACGGUCCAGACUCCUACGGGAGGCAGCAGUAGGGAAUCGUCCGCAAUGGGCGAAAGCCUGACGGAGCAACGCCGCGUGAGUGAUGAAGGUCUUCGGAGCGUAAAACUCUGUUAUUAGGGAAGAACAUAUGUGUAAGUAACUGUGCACAUCUUGACGGUACCUAAUCAGAAAGCCACGGCUAACUACGUG
rnacentral:rRNA from 1 species